rnacentral:rRNA from 1 species
UACGGGAGGCAGCAGUGGGGAAUAUUGCACAAUGGGCGCAAGCCUGAUGCAGCCAUGCCGCGUGUAUGAAGAAGGCCUUCGGGUUGUAAAGUACUUUCAGUCGUGAGGAAGGUGUUAAGGUUAAUAACCUUAGCAAUUGACGUUAGCGACAGAAGAAGCACCGGCUAACUCCGUGCCAGCAGCCGCGGUAAUACGGAGGGUGCGAGCGUUAAUCGGAAUUACUGGGCGUAAAGGGCACGCAGGCGGUUAAUUAAGUUGGAUGUGAAAUCCCCGGGCUUAACCUGGGAAUGGCAUUCAAGACUGGUUAGCUAGAGUCUUGUAGAGGGGGUAGAAUUCCAUGUGUAGCGGUGAAAUGCGUAGAGAUGUGGAGGAAUACCGGUGGCGAAGGCGGCCCCUGGGACAAAGACUGACGCUCAUGUGCGAAAGCGUGGGGAGCAAACAGGGAUUAGAU